CGCAGAGCAACGACAAAGUGGAGCGUUGUGGCUUUGCUGUCGCGUAAAUUGUCGCCGAAAUCAUAUGCUUCUCCUCUUCUCACUAUUCUAUCUCGUGAGGAUUUUCCAAAGAUAUAUAGAAACCAAAAAUGUGAUGCUAUCCUUUAAAGAAGUACGAAGGGCGAGCUAAAGAUCCCACGUACUAGUCUAUGUGUACACGCCCAUGUUUCGUGGGCUGGCUCAGACUGAUUAAAUCGGAUUGGAACAUUGGAGUCAUAGCCGUUGUUUGAUGAGCCUAAUUGCACUUCAAACUGAGUCGGACUGGGGAAGGACACAAGUCCCAGAAAGGAGGGAUUUAGGACCCAUGUUGAGACAGGUUUUGAGUGAGCCUCUUUUCUUCUCUGCAUUCGCUUUUCCUCCUUUUCUCUCCACGGUUUCAAGGAUUUGCUUAAGGUAUAUAAAGAGACCAGAAAUGGAGUUCUAUCCUUCAAAGAGGUACGAAAGAAAGGCAAGCUAAUGAUCCCAUGUUACUGGUCCGAGAUUACAAGCUCUUCAGGUAAUGGAAUGUUUUACGUAUACCUGUUUAUAUUCUGCUGCAAAAUUUCUCACACCAGCUCUCAUGGCAUUAUCGAUACCAAUUUGUACCCGAUGAGGCUUGGAAUGCUAUUUUUAUAAAGGUACGAAAAGAAAGGCGAGCAAAUGAUCCCACAUUACCAGUCUGAGUUUACCAUCUCUUAAGGUAAUGGGACGUUUUACUUAUACCUGUUUAUAUGUACUGCUGCGAUGUUUUUACACCUGCUCUCACGGCGUUUUAAGUACAAUUUGCAAUUGAUGACGCUUAAAUCUCUUAUGAUCUUUGUAACAGUGUUAACAAGCUAUAAUUCUUAGAAUUCUGCAACAAUCUCUGCUGCUAGAAUAAGAUAGCCACCCUUUUUUGUGGGCUCGUUUAA